rnacentral:rRNA from 1 species
GAUGAACGCUGGCGGCGUGCCUAAUACAUGCAAGUCGAGCGAACAGACAAGGAGCUUGCUCCUUUGACGUUAGCGGCGGACGGGUGAGUAACACGUGGGUAACCUACCUAUAAGACUGGGAUAACUUCGGGAAACCGGAGCUAAUACCGGAUAAUAUUUCGAACCGCAUGGUUCGAUAGUGAAAGAUGGUUUUGCUAUCACUUAUAGAUGGACCCGCGCCGUAUUAGCUAGUUGGUAAGGUAACGGCUUACCAAGGCGACGAUACGUAGCCGACCUGAGAGGGUGAUCGGCCACACUGGAACUGAGACACGGUCCAGACUCCUACGGGAGGCAGCAGUAGGGAAUCUUCCGCAAUGGGCGAAAGCCUGACGGAGCAACGCCGCGUGAGUGAUGAAGGUCUUCGGAUCGUAAAACUCUGUUAUUAGGGAAGAACAUACAUGUAAGUAACUAUGCACGUCUUGACGGUACCUAAUCAGAAAGCCACGGCUAACUACGUGCCAGCAGCCGCGGUAAUACGUAGGUGGCAAGCGUUAUCCGGAAUUAUUGGGCGUAAAGCGCGCGUAGGCGGUUUUUUAAGUCUGAUGUGAAAGCCCACGGCACAACCGUGGAGGGUCAUUGGAAACUGGAAAACUUGAGUGCAGAAGAGGAAAGUGGAAUUCCAUGUGUAGCGGUGAAAUGCGCAGAGAUAUGGAGGAACACCAGUGGCGAAGGCGACUUUCUGGUCUGUAACUGACGCUGAUGUGCGAAAGCGUGGGGAUCAAACAGGAUUAGAUACCCUGGUAGUCCACGCCGUAAACGAUGAGUGCUAAGUGUUAGGGGGUUUCCGCCCCUUAGUGCUGCAGCUAACGCAUUAAGCACUCCGCCUGGGGAGUACGACCGCAAGGUUGAAACUCAAAGGAAUUGACGGGGACCCGCACAAGCGGUGGAGCAUGUGGUUUAAUUCGAAGCAACGCGAAGAACCUUACCAAAUCUUGACAUCCUUUGACAACUCUAGAGAUAGAGCCUUCCCCUUCGGGGGACAAAGUGACAGGUGGUGCAUGGUUGUCGUCAGCUCGUGUCGUGAGAUGUUGGGUUAAGUCCCGCAACGAGCGCAACCCUUAAGCUUAGUUGCCAUCAUUAAGUUGGGCACUCUAAGUUGACUGCCGGUGACAAACCGGAGGAAGGUGGGGAUGACGUCAAAUCAUCAUGCCCCUUAUGAUUUGGGCUACACACGUGCUACAAUGGACAAUACAAAGGGCAGCGAAACCGCGAGGUCAAGCAAAUCCCAUAAAGUUGUUCUCAGUUCGGAUUGUAGUCUGCAACUCGACUACAUGAAGCUGGAAUCGCUAGUAAUCGUAGAUCAGCAUGCUACGGUGAAUACGUUCCCGGGUCU